ACGGAGGGUGCAAGCGUUAUCCGGAUUCACUGGGUUUAAAGGGUGCGUAGGCGGGCCGGUAAGUCCGUGGUGAAAUCUCUGAGCUUAACUCGGAAACUGCCAUGGAUACUAUGGGUCUUGAAUACUCGGGAGGUGAGCGGAAUAUGUCAUGUAGCGGUGAAAUGCUUAGAUAUGACAUAGAACACCAAUUGCGAAGGCAGCUUGCUACAGAGUUAUUGACGCUGAGGCACGAAAGCGUGGGGAUCAAACAGGA
rnacentral:rRNA from 1 species